GAUGAACGCUGGCGGCGUGCCUAAUACAUGCAAGUCGAGCGAACAGAUGAGGAGCUUGCUCCUCUGACGUUAGCGGCGGACGGGUGAGUAACACGUGGAUAACCUACCUAUAAGACUGGGAAAACUUCGGGAAACCGGAGCUAAUACCGGAUAAUAUAUUGAACCGCAUGGUUCAAUAGUGAAAGACGGUUUUGCUGUCACUUAUAGAUGGAUCCGCGCCGCAUUAGCUAGUUGGUAAGGUAACGGCUUACCAAGGCAACGAUGCGUAGCCGACCUGAGAGGGUGAGCGGCCACACUGGAACUGAGACACGGUCCAGACUCCUACGGGAGGCAGCAGUAGGGAAUCUUCCGCAAUGGGCGAAAGCCUGACGGAGCAACGCCGCGUGAGUGAUGAAGGUCUUCGGAUCGUAAAACUCUGUUAUUCGGGAAGAACAAAUGUGUAAGUAACUAUGCACGUCUUGACGGUACCUAAUCAGAAAGCCACGGCUAACUACGUG
rnacentral:rRNA from 1 species